GAUAAAAAACGCUUGUGUCGACUUGUGUCAUCAAAUGGAAAGCACCUUGUGUAUUCUGAUUUCUGGGAGUUUAUUACGGUCCUUAAAACGAAGUAAAAAUUACGAAAGUGAUCGAAUUUAUUAGAAUAUUUAUAACUUCAUUGGUUAACACCUAUUGGCCAAUUUCUUCCGGCUUAAAAGGCUUAAAACACCUAUUGUAGAUCCGGACUUACUAUUCUAAAAUCAAUUCAACAUUGAAAGAACUCUUGUAAAAGCAUGUAAAAUAGUCUCGUAAAUAACUCUCAGGAAGGAAUCAUAAAGUGAUCUGCCUUAAUAGAAGAUGUUUAUAACAACAGAAACAUUACCAUCCUUAUACAUAAACAAUGCAACUCCAACGACAAUCAAGAA